GCAGUGGUGAUUCAGUGGUACAAUUCUCACCUUCCAUGCAGGAGACCCAAGUUCAGUUCCUGGCCAAUGCA
rfam:Loxodonta africana unplaced genomic scaffold scaffold_53, whole genome shotgun sequence.